CGCGUAGGCCGUUGAGUUAGUUAAUUGUGAAAUCCCAAAGCUUAACUUUGGAACUGCAAUUAAAACUGCUCGACUAGAGUUUGAUAGAGGAAAGCGGAAUACAUAGUGUAGAGGUGAAAUUCGUAGAUAUUAUGUAGAACACCAGUUGCGAAGGCGGCUUUCUGGAUCAACACUGACGCUGAGGCGCGAAAGUAUGGGUAGCAAAAGA
rnacentral:rRNA from 1 species